AUGGCCCCGGCGAACCCUCCCUACAUCGACCACGGGCGCCGGCCUCGUUCCAGCCACAUGGUGAUCGCCUCCACGCCGGAGAUGGAGCAGCAGGUCUUCCUACUGCAGUAGCAUGCGGUGGUGGUCACCGCGAUGAGCAAGCUGCACGCGGCCAACCCCCUCUCCAUCGGUCGGGCCAUCGAGCGGGAGUUUCAGAUCCCCUCGCACCUUCUCCGCGUCACCAGCCACGAUCCUGAAGACUUCUUCAUCCACCUCACCAUGCUGGCGCACAAGGAGCUCGUCGUCCGACGCGGCUCGAUCAUCGUGGACGGCGUCUCCUUCCUCCUGGAGCCGUGGAGGGAGGACACGCACGCGAUCCACGACACCUGGAUGCUGCACGUCCGUGUCGUCAUGGAGAAGCUGCCGAUGCAGCUGUGGACCCUGGAGGGCGCAAAGGAGGCGCUGGGCGACAAGGUGAUCAUCGACCGCCUCGACAGCCGCACCUUCGAGCGCGCGGACACGAAGCUUUUCGCCGUCUGG
rnacentral:rRNA from 1 species